rnacentral:rRNA from 1 species
CCUACGGGCGGCAGCAGUGGGGAAUAUUGGACAAUGGGGGCAACCCUGAUCCAGCCAUGCCGCGUGUGUGAAGAAGGCCCUCGGGUUGUAAAGCACUUUCAGUGAGGAAGAACGCCUGGUGGUUAAUACCCAUCAGGAAAGACAUCACUCACAGAAGAAGCACCGGCUAACUCCGUGCCAGCAGCCGCGGUAAUACGGAGGGUGCGAGCGUUAAUCGGAAUUACUGGGCGUAAAGCGCGCGUAGGUGGCUUGAUAAGCCGGUUGUGAAAGCCCCGGGCUCAACCUGGGAACGGCAUCCGGAACUGUCAAGCUAGAGUGCAGGAGAGGAAGGUAGAAUUCCCGGUGUAGCGGUGAAAUGCGUAGAGAUCGGGAGGAAUACCAGUGGCGAAGGCGGCCUUCUGGACUGACACUGAUACUGAGGUGCGAAAGCGUGGGUAGCAAACAGGAUUAGAUACCCUGGUAGUC